rnacentral:tRNA from 1 species
AGAAAAGUAAGCUAAAUUUAAGCUAAUGGGUUCAUAUCCCAAAUAUAGAGUAUAUCUCUCUUUUCUA